GAUGAACGCUAGCGGCAGGCUUAACACAUGCAAGUCGAGGGGUAGAAGGAGCUUGCUCCUUUGAGACCGGCGCACGGGUGCGUAACGCGUAUGCAAUCUACCUUUUGCAGAGGGAUAGCCCAGAGAAAUUUGGAUUAAUACCUCAUAGUAUGUGAGGAUGGCAUCAUUUUCACAUUAAAGUCACAACGGCAAAAGAUGAGCAUGCGUCCCAUUAGCUAGUUGGUAAGGUAACGGCCUACCAAGGCUACGAUGGGUAGGGGUCCUGAGAGGGAGAUCCCCCACACUGGUACUGAGACACGGACCAGACUCCUACGGGAGGCAGCAGUGAGGAAUAUUGGACAAUGGGCGCAAGCCUGAUCCAGCCAUGCCGCGUGCAGGAUGACGGUCCUAUGGAUUGUAAACUGCUUUUGUACAGGAAGAAACACUACUUCGUGAAGUAGCUUGACGGUACUGUAAGAAUAAGGAUCGGCUAACUCCGU
rnacentral:rRNA from 1 species